rnacentral:lncRNA from 10 species
UUAAGUGAUCCCCCACCUUGGCCUCCCAAAGUGCUGGGAUUAUAGGCGUGAGCCACUGCACCCGGCCCCGAGUGUAGAUUCUUAUCUACCUGCUAACAACAAUCCCAGCAUUGAGGCUAAGGGUGAAAGAUGGAUGGAAUGAUGAAAUAUCAGACAGCCAAGGAAAACAAACAAACAAAAAGUCACAGGAUCUGGAACUCAGUUUAGAACAAUCAAUGUAAUUUGACAAAAUGGCAGGGGUGUAACCAGGGUUGGAUUUCGUUCUCUCUAGUUUCUCUUCUCAUCCUUCCGUAUGAUAAUUCUGCUAAAUCAUCAUUUGUAAUCCUUGCACAAAACCAGGUGAAUUUAAAAAGAUCACUUAAAGAGUUAAAU